UACGUAGGGUGCGAGCAUUGUCCGGAAUUACUGGGCGUAAAGAGCUCGUAGGUGGUUUGUCGCGUUGUCCGUGAAAACUCACAGCUUAACUGUGGGCGUGCGGGCGAUACGGGCAGACUGGAGUACUGCAGGGGAGACUGGAAUUCCUGGUGUAGCGGUGGAAUGCGCAGAUAUCAGGAGGAACACCGGUGGCGAAGGCGGGUCUCUGGGCAGUAACUGACGCUGAGGAGCGAAAGCGUGGGGAGCGAACAGG
rnacentral:rRNA from 1 species